UGAGGGCAGCAAUGGAAGGAAGGUCAAAGAAAGCUACAACCCACAGUCCCUGGAGGCUCAUCUCAAGGAGGACCAUCUCCUGAUCAACAGUGGGAGGCAGAAUCUGAGUCUCAUGGGCACCUGGGCACCUGGAAUUAUGGAAGCCCACAGAUGCAUGUGCGUUCAAGGGAGAAUGAGUGACUCACAUUGGGUGCUCAACAUCAGCCCACCCAGACAUGCUCAGAGAUACAAGCAAGGAACACAGUAUGGAGCCCAAUGCCAGGGAAUCUGAACUUUUGCCACCUCUCUUGUUACUGUAUCUAACCUUCUGUAAGUAUGAAACACAUUUAUAAAACUG
rnacentral:lncRNA from 1 species